rnacentral:miRNA from 1 species
UUAGAUGACCAUCAACGAAAA